rnacentral:ncRNA from 2 species
UUUGCUUUCAAUAAGAUUGGUGACUUUGAAUAGAUUCCUAUUCUGAGUUGAAAAGGGAAUUCGGUGUAAAUCCGAGACAGACCGGCUGCUGUAAUCCUUUAUAAAUCUCUUGUAACUACUCACACCACUAUACUUUAUGUAUGGGAAGGCAUACCAAGAGAUAAGGAAAGUCAGAAGACCUGCCAAUGCUACUUCAGAUAA